UAGGAAGCUUAAGGAUGGGACUCAAACCCUCGGUCCACCUCACCCAGGGGUUCAGGGAGAAUUUGUUCCUGGCCCUAACUGGAGAUGCUGCUGCUGGGGCAGGAGCAGCUCAAAAAGAGGUUGCUGCCUGAGACAAGGACCGGAGCGAGCGUGCCUCCCACUUUCCUUUCAAGCACAGAAAGUCACUGCAGCUCAAAAAUUAUAUACAUCAGCUGCCUGGGAUGCAACUCCUAUGAAAUGCAGUGGGGAAAACCUUCAAAACAAGACUUCCAACAUGUACCUUGUACCAUUUGAUGGAAGAUGUGGAAGGGGUCACACAUGCUUAAUCCCAUAUCAGAGUUCAGAAGGAUUCUUCAGCAAAAAGAAUCAGUGAGACACAGUGAUGAAAAAUUAAGUUUCUCCUUGAACUAUUAGUUCACUUAUAAGGAGAUCUGAUUAAAUCCUAUCAGCUUUACUCUGAA